rnacentral:rRNA from 1 species
UACAGAGGAUGCAAGCGUUAUCCGGAAUGAUUGGGCGUAAAGCGUCUGUAGGUGGCUUUUUAAGUCCGCCGUCAAAUCCCAGGGCUCAACUCUGGACAGGCGGUGGAAACUACCAAGCUGGAGUACGGUAGGGGCAGAGGGAAUUCCCGGUGUAGUGGUGAAAUGCGUAGAUAUCGGGAGGAACACCAGUGGCGAAGGCGGCUAUCUGGGCUGAAACUGACGCUGAGGCGCGAAGGCUAGGGGAGCAAACAGG